rnacentral:lncRNA from 1 species
GAGGAGUGAUAUGUGCAGAGUAGAGAAAGGAUACAAAUCAGAGGAAUCAUCCUCAUCAGAGGAGUCAUACUGGUCAGAAGAACCAUUCUCACCAGAGGGAUUUCAUCCACCAGAGACAACUCAUUCGCUAGAGGAAUGGUUAUCGCCAGAGAAAUCAUCCCUUGCCAGAGAAGUCAUCAUCGCCAGAGGAAUCACAUUCGUCAGAGAAGUCAUCUUCGACAGAGAGAUCAUCAUCGUCAGAGAAGUCAUCUUCGACAGAGAGAUCAUCAUCGUCAGAGAAGUCAUCAUCG